UCAAGACGUCUUUUUAUCAGACAGGCAAACUCUGAAACAUGUAAUGGAACUAGUGUGGAAAAUCUGAAUUUGUCUAAAAAGGGCCAAAACGAAUAUAUAAGAUAGAAAUAGAUGUCAGUCGUUUUUUUUUUUUUGGUCUUGAGGACUUUCUCGAUUUUCUAAUUUCAUCAGAUCCUAGUGUUAAUGGAGAACUGGUAAACCAUUUUCUCAGCCUCCUCGGAUCUUAUCUGCUUUAAGACUGAGAAUGACAUUUAAAUAAUCGUGAGGUGGUUGUGAGAUACAUGUUUAUGUUCAGUGUGUUUCUUUGCUAUUAAGGGAAAUUCAAAUGCUCCCCUCACUACUCCACGGAUUGGUGAAGUCGUGACCCAGUUUCGGCAACAAGGCGGAAAACCAACUGAAGAAAAUCAAGAAAACGAGCAGCGAAUUAAAAAACUAGAGCAGCAGGUUUCCCAUCUCAUUCAGAAGGUCCCUACAGGGGAUGGCUUUAAAGUGAACAGUGCUGUACCUUCUGAGUGCUGUACCUUCUGUGGUGCGUAAAAGCUAAAAAAGAGACACUGAUCAGACAUCAGAGAGUGAAUGUGACAGAGGAAAAGAGAACCAACAGCAAUCCAGAAUCCUGUCUCAUUCCAGACGCUCUGCAGGAAAAAAAAAUUAACCAAGGACACCAAACCCAAACAAUCUGACUGGUGAAGUAACUUAUAUACAUUCAUAUUUAUAAAUGCAUUUUGUCUCAAACCGAAUUUCAAGUGCUUAUUGAGAAUUUGGACUUACCUGUAAGUUGCACAAACACAUCUCAUUCCAGUUUACUGGAUUUAAUUAAUAAUGUCAUUUGCCCCAGCGCAGGGCUUGAAUUGUAUUUUGAGAGGCUUCAAAAUAUUUACCUGCUGAAUUCUUCCUCAGUUCAGUCUUUUUUUUAUCUAACUUAAUAAGGUUCAGAAUCAUAGACCUCCCACACUUUAGGCAAAGGCUUUGUAGUAGUCUAGUAAUCAAGGCAGUUUAUAAAUUGUCCUCCCAUUUAAAAUUGCUUGUACGCAUGAAUGAUUACACUGUCACUAAGUUCAUUUCAUUUAGCUUAAUCAGAACUUAAGCUGCAAUAACAUGGAAUAGACAGAGCUACUAUUGAGAAGUUACAGCAAUAAUAACUUAAUACAUACACUAAUGCAACAUUAUGGUAAUUAAAAAAAUGUAUAUAAUAUUUAUGUAAAAUUGGAAUGAUCAAGAUUUUUUAUUGGAAUGAUCAAGAUUUUUUUAAUGUUCUUCUCG
rnacentral:lncRNA from 1 species